UCAGGUAUUUAUAGCAACUUCUGCAACUCCCAUAAUAACUCUUCGUGGCUCAGCACCUCACAACAUGAUGUCUUGUUAUCCCCAUUUCACAGAUGUGGAAAUAGGGCACACGGAAAUUAAGUGAUUUCUGCAGGAUCUCCUACAACCCACUGCAGUGCCUUGACUGUAACACCACCUUCAUCUGAGUUUCAGCUCAGAUUAUUAUUAGGCUUCUGAACUCUGCUGCAGCUUGAUUUAUAGAAACUGCUUAGUCACUGGCAGCAGUGCUGUUCUGGGAGUGGGAGAGAUGCUCGCUGGUGUUUCAUCAGAGGCUCCUGCCAAGAAGCAGACACUGCCCUUGACAGAUCAUUGAGAGCUGAUGGCCGAAGUGGGAGUGAUGAGGAAGGUGAAGUGAUGCAGUCUCAAACUCUGGUCCCCACCAAAAGAUGCAGCUCCCAAGGCUCCAGUUUGAGCAGUGAACGCACAGAUCUGCAGGAGCACUGUGUGCUGAGAAACACGGCCCCAAAGGAGCCCUGUGGCUGUCCUUGGCCUCUUGGCAGCACAGAUGGGCAUCUCCAGCAGCCUGAAUUCCAGCUCCUGGCUCUGCUAUCCCAGUGACGGCAGCACAUUUGCAUAAGGAGCCACUGGGUGAGUAAUACCUGCCUCUGCAGACAGCAAAUCCUGCAAACACUUUGUGGUAAACCUGCUGCUGCUCUGGGCAGGGAGGAUGCACUUUACUCUGAAAGCAGAGGAUGAAAGACUCUGUGGCAACGGCUUCCUUUGAAAGGGCUGAGCCCAAUCCUCUGCACAAGCAACUGUUUAUUAUCAGAAUCUCUGAUCUCCAGAGCACUUAAUGCCCCUGCCUGCACAGAAGGCAGCCAGCACACACUGCAGCCUCACAGCCUUCAGUCUGACUCCAGCAAUAUCGCUGCUAAUUGCAAUAAAACAGCGGAUUUAAGGCAUUCACCUGUUUCAGUCACUUGUUCAGGCAGGCACAGGAUGGUACACGGUGACAGUAACAACCUGAAAUGGCUGUAUUUGCACAAUUCCCAAGCUACAGGUGUGCAGUGAGGCAGACCUGUGCCUGUCAGCACAGAACUGUCUAAGAAUUAACCAGAUUUGCACCUUGCCUAUCUGUCUGCAGAUAAGAGUGUUACCUCAGAGACAGGCAGUGGAUAUUUCUGACAGACUGAACCUGGGUGCUGACUUUGACCUUGGCCAUUUAUAUCACUGGAGCAAAAUUCUGCAUGCUUCUGUUUGCUUACACAGAGAUAAGGAUACUGGUCUCUGGAUUAAAAGUGUCACUAAGGAGGCACAUUAUGAUUAUAAUUAUUAUUUUACAAGCUGAACAGUGUUCAGAAGCUGGCAGGGCUGCUUCUGAGGUUAUUCAAGGAGUGUGUGCCUUUGCAAAAGGCUGGAAGAAACUGUACAUACAGAUUUAUAAGCUGAGGAAAAGGAUUAUCUGCGAAACAGCCAACAGUUUUUAUUUACUGUGAAAAUCUGAGUCUCACUCUCAAUUUCCCAUCAAGAUAGAAUGCAGGCAUUUGGUUAAAAUGGUAACUUAAUGCUCCAGAGGUUUAAUUACCACCACUCUAUAAUCAAAAUCAACACAGAGUGCAAGCUGUAGCUCCCAACUCCAACAAGAAAUGCAGCUUCCCACAAAGCAGUCAAUAAAAAGAAGAUAGAUAGCAUGUGCUUGGAUUUUGUGGUCCUUCCCACAGCUGAACUUGCAAAUCUGCUAUUGCUAAUGGUUUUAUUUCAAACCUCAGGUUCUCCCUUAGCUUUUAUCAAACUCCAGAGCUCAUUAUUUCUACAUUUUAACUUUCUUUGAGUAUAAUAUCUAUAUACAAGGUACUGAAUUAAGGGAGCUCACAGUGCUGGAAGCUAAAUUUCAAUUUUUUUUUUCCCUGUACCAACAGAAAGCACUGAAGUAAUCUCAAUAGAUUAAUAGUGGUUAUUACUGAAACUUUACAAGGGCCUUGGUUGGAAAAAGUGUCAUGAAAGCAGGAAUGUCUUCUGGGCUGGGGCUGGUGUGAUCCCUGGCAUGGACCUCCAAAGAUCAAAUGAUCCAUCCAUCUCCAUUUCAGUUCCUGGUGCUUUUCUUUAAGGACUUCAGGACUUCUGGAUCAUAGGACCAGCUUGGGUUUUGGUUAGUACACUUUUCCGUCUGCAAGUCAAGAUUUCUUUUCUCCAGUGCCUUCUCCCAGUGCAUUUUCUGAACGAGGCCACUGUGCUGUGCCAAGUGAUGAUCCCUGUGAAAAUUGCACAUGCUCUUCAUUUUGUCUGUUCCCUUGCAAGUCAGGUUUCUUGCGAGCAAAGCUUUUACCUGUCCUGCAGCCACGCCCCUGCCAGGCACCAGGGCAAAGGUGUCCAGCACAGGUACUGCUAACAGUGCAGUCCUCUGCCUCUGCCAAGGGCUGAGCCUUGAAUUUAUAUCCUGGGAUGCUCCCAGAUGCUGCAGUAGCAAACACAGAAGCUGUUCUCCAAAAAACUUUGCUAUGGUUUCUGCCCUCUAAGCAAGGGUUAAUUUUCCUCCUCAUCAGCCCCCUAUAAAAAGCAGCACAUUUUGUGACCUGCUCCUACUGACUUGUGGAAAUAACAGAUACCCUAUUAGCAAUACUUGUCCAAACAGUGUUGGACUGGUUAGUGCCAGCACUUUCCAUCCAGCACUAGUAUUUGUUUUUCCAUGCUCUUAAUCUUAGAAAUUGAAUUGAGUCUGAUAAAAGUGACUUCCUGAAUAUUGCAUAACAGUUUACGUCUGUCAGUGGGGAAGACAAACAGACCUGACCUUGAACUCAGAAAGUUUCCUCCCAGCAGGUAAAAGCUUCCAAAAGUCUGAGCAGGGGUUCCUUGUCUCCUCCCUGUCCUGGGACAGCAAUGAGGAUUCCCUGGCAGCCAUUCUCUCCAUAAAAAAGCUCUGUAAAAUGCUUUGGAUCCUCCUCUUGGACCUGAGAAUCCCCCGGAAAGAGCUGCAGCAGGAAGGCAGCUUCAUGUUCUUGCUCUGAAAAGGAGGCAGAGGAGAAAUCCUGCCCAUAUCUGGCAGGGUUUAGCCUCCAGGGAUUAAUUAAAGGCUUUUCCAGUUUUUCUUUCAAACCUCACAACAUUCAUCCCCGCCUCACUGAAUAGGGAAAAGGGAGAGGCAUUUUCUCUGGUGAAGCACCAGCCUGUUUCAAUUUUCAGUUUUACAUUGCAGUAAUAUGCUUUUCCUAAGGGAAUACCACAGGAAGGGCAAACUUUGGCUUCUCACCAUUGGAGCAUUACGUCAUUAAAACGAGCUGGAAAUCUGAGCAGCGGGCAAAACAAAUUCCCUAAACUUAAUAAUUCCCCCUUUCCUUGGUGCUUCAGUCCCCUCUCCCCUGCCCACCUGCAAGGCAGGUUGAGGUGUUGGCAGAGCCAGCGUGGGAUGGGGACCAGUGAACAAGGAGUGGGUGAUGAUGCUACAGCAGCAGGGAGCUGUCCUGCAUCUUUUGAGCUGCUGGCACUGCUGGGGCUGGAACUAAAGGAGCUCUGGGGCAGCAAAAUCCUUUCUUCUUUCACUCAGGCUUUAGGUGGUGGCUGCACUUGGGGGAGAAGGUACCACCUGGUUCUCAGGAUUCCCUAUGAAACAUUUGGGGUCUUUUGCACAGCUUUCCCACUAACAGAAAAGUGCCCCCAACUACAGGGCUUGGGAGACUGGGUUUUGGGCAGCAUCCUGAGGAAGCAGCACAGCUCCCAGCUCAACCCACCCUGAGUGUGUGAGUGGUGCCCUGCAGAGCCCCCGACUCUGCAGUGUUUGUUUUCUGACCCCAUUACCUAUUCCAGUUUGGUUUUCAGCUGCUUAGGCUUGAUUAUUUUAAACCACUCUAUCUGAUUAUCAGCAGCGCAGCCAGGCCAGCUAUGGGGAUCCUGGGGUAUCCCCAGCAGUGUUGUAGAAGGAUAAUUUGCCUCUUGUUCAUGGUUCUGAGGGCAUUGGUCAGCUGAGAGGGCAGGGGGAAGAGUUAUAGGAGUAUUCCAAAUGGGGGGAAGGCAGCUCUCUGUGCACCCCGUGCCACAGCCUCACAAAUCUCAAACUUUGCUGCAGGAUGAAGUACCUUGCUGCCAUGGGUGUGUGGAGAAAUGUGUCCUGGCAGGCACCCAGCACCCCCAGGAGAUCUCAGCAAUGGGUCCCAUGGCACACAGUAGCCCACGCUGGCACGGCAGGAUGCUUCUGGAAGCAGAGCAGCCCAGGGACACACUGGCAUGGCAGGGUGCAGCAGAUUGGUACCCAAACCAGGCAUCCCUGCCCAACCCUUCCAGAGCUGCCUUGCUCUUGCUUUUCAGUUUUCUAUUGUUGUCCUAGAGCUGUUUUCCUCCUCCUCCCCCUAGCAGGCUGAAGAAGCCUCCAGCUGGCCUAGGAGGCUUAUCAGCUCUGUCUGGCUGGGUGUUAACAGUUUAUUUGCAUAAGUACCUGUCCCCGUCAUAUGCAGCUUGCCUUUGUGACUCACUGGAGUUGUUUAUUUUUCCUCCAGCAGCCAGGCUUGCAGCUGCUGCUCCCUGAGGUAUGCCAGGGCAGAUGCCACCACCCCAGGGCACUGCAGGAUGCCUGGCACGCUGGGGGCAGGAGCUCACCCUCCCUGGCUCAUCCGCUCCUCCUGCCCUGCGGGACCAGCUUGGAAAUUAAAUAUGUAACUAGUCGGGUCCUGAUUUCUCCUGGCUGUCAAGACAGAAUUAAACAGAACCCUCCCACUUCACACCUCAGCAGCUGUCCCUGGCUGGGGAGAGCACAGCCUCACCUGGGACCAGUCUCAGCUCCUGGUGCAGGGAGGGUUGGUGCAUCUGGGUUGAGGCCUGGGCGAUGGGGUAGCUGCCUCCUCCCUCCUGAUGGCACUCACAGAGUCAGAGAAUGCCCUGGAUUGGAAAGGACCCACACAGAUCAUCAAGUCCAGCUCCUGGCCCUGCACAGGACAACCUCAGAAAUCCCAACAUGUGCCUGAGGGUGUUGUCUUAAGGGAAUUUGGACAAGCUCUUUCAGGCUUGGUGCUGUGACCUUUCCUGGGGAGUCUGUUCCUGUGUGAGACCACCCGCUGGGUGAAGAACCUUUAUCUGAUAUCCUUAUUUUAAGCAGCUGAGAUCCUUAAAGCAUUUUCUGGACUCAGGUCUCAGCUCCAAAGGCAGAGGCAGUGUAACCUGCCAGACCAACUCUUCAGGCUGUACUAAAGCAAACACUGUACAGCUCUACUCCAAGUGUUGGCCAUGAUGCCAGAGCCAUCCCCUCAGCUAGUAGCCAAGUGAUCUUGUUUCUGCUCAUUAGCUCUGAAAGGUUUUGCCAUCCAUAAUAAGAAAGUCAUUAAUGUUAAACUUCUGCUGCCAGGUAGGAUUGAUUUGAAGAUUAUAACCAUUAUAAAGGGGGGAUGCACUGCAUAUAGAAUGUGUUAAAGUCCUAGCAGGACUAUGCAGGAAUUGUUGCUUCAAUGGUUCCCUGUCAUCUGUGGAGCUCACCAAAGCUCACCCACGGAGCUCAGACAGACGUGGGGCUGCCUGGAAGGGCUAGUGAAGAGUGGCUACUUUCAAAGGGAAACAGUAAAUUCAAAUCAGCAGCAUCCUCUGCAGAAGGGCUGUAAUCCUAUCUCAGGAGACGACAGAAUUGGUGAUCUAACAUGUCUCCAUGCUCUUGUUGCUGUGAUAUUUUACUAAUAUGGUGCGUAGGCUAGAGGUCCUCAGUGUCCACAGAUGGGAAAUGCUCAGUGUAGGACCCCCUCUCCAAGGAGCUACCAAGACUGACAUACCUUCUCCUGAAUGUGGCCCAAAAACCUGGGUGCUGUUGCGUGGUGUGUUCUGCUGAUGUGUUCUGCCUCCUUUCCAUGGAUGAUGUGCCAGUGAAUCACCUGUCCAUCCAUUCAGGCACUUCUUGUAUAUGUAAGUUAUUUCAGACGUAUAUUUUUGGUGUCAUUCAUUUGUUAUCAUUCAUCACAUAAAGUGCUUUUGACAGUUGAGCCAUGCCAGGUGUGCUCUGCUCCUCUGACUGGGAGAUGGGAUGGAUGGAUGGAUGGA